rnacentral:rRNA from 1 species
CGACGUAGGAGACGAGCGUUAUCCGGAAUUACUGGGCGUAAAGCGCGAGUAGGCGGCUUUUUAAGUGGUCUGUGAAAGCGUCCGGCUCAACUGGACGAGGCCGGAUCAGACUGGAAGGCUAGAGGGUCAGAGAGGCAGGCGGACUUCCGGGUGUAGUGGUGAAAUGCGGAGAGAUCCGGAGGAACACCAGUGGCGAAGGCGGCCUGCUGGCUGACAACUGACGCUGAGGCGCGAAAGCAUGGGGAGCGAACGGGAUUAGAAACCCCGGUAGUCCAUGCCGUAAACGAUGUCAACUAAGUGUUUGGGAAGCGAAAGCUUCCUGAGUGCUGAAGCAAACGCAUGAAGUUGACCUCCUGGGGAGUACGACCGCAAGGCUAAAACUCAAAUGAAUUGACGGGG